AACGAACGCUGGCGGCAUGCCUAACACAUGCAAGUCGAACGAGACCUUCGGGUCUAGUGGCGCACGGGUGCGUAACGCGUGGGAAUCUGCCCUGGGGUGCGGAAUAACUAGGAGAAAUUCUAGCUAAUACCGCAUAAUGUCUUCGGACCAAAGAUUUAUUGCCCUGGGAUGAGCCCGCGUAGGAUUAGCUAGUUGGUGGGGUAAAGCCUACCAAGGCGACGAUCCUUAGCUGGUCUGAGAGGAUGAUCAGCCACACUGGGACUGAGACACGGCCCAGACUCCUACGGGAGGCAGCAGUGGGGAAUAUUGGACAAUGGGCGAAAGCCUGAUCCAGCAAUGCCGCGUGCAGGAAGAAGGCCUCGGUU
rnacentral:rRNA from 1 species